rnacentral:rRNA from 1 species
AUUGAACGCUGGCGGCAGGCCUAACACAUGCAAGUCGAGCGGAUGAAGGGAGCUUGCUCCUGGAUUCAGCGGCGGACGGGUGAGUAAUGCCUAGGAAUCUGCCUGGUAGUGGGGGAUAACGUCCGGAAACGGGCGCUAAUACCGCAUACGUCCUGAGGGAGAAAGUGGGGGAUCUUCGGACCUCACGCUAUCAGAUGAGCCUAGGUCGGAUUAGCUAGUUGGUGGGGUAAAGGCCUACCAAGGCGACGAUCCGUAACUGGUCUGACAGGAUGAUCAGUCACACUGGAAGUGAGACACGGUCCAGACUCCUACGGGAGGCAGCAGUGGGGAAUAUUGGACCAGGGGCGAAAGCCUGAUCCAGCCAUGCCGCGUGUGUGAAGAAGGUCUUCGGAUUGUAAAGCACUUUAAGUUGGGAGGAAGCGCAGUAAGUUAAUACCUUGCUGUUUUGACGUUACCAACAGAAUAAGCACCGGCUAACUUAGUG